UCGGGAAUAUUGCGCAAUGGAGGAAACUCUGACGCAGUGACGCCGCGUGCAGGAAGAAGGUUUUCGGAUUGUAAACUGCUUUAGACAGGGAAGAAGAAGUGACAGUACCUGUAGAAUAAGCUCCGGCUAACUACGUGCCAGCAGCCGCGGUAAUACGUAGGGAGCGAGCGUUAUCCGGAUUUAUUGGGUGUAAAGGGUGCGUAGAUGGAUAUGCAAGUUGGUUGUGAAAUACCUCGGCUUAACUGAGGAACUGCAACCAAAACUGUAAAUCUUGAGUACUGGAGGGGAAAGCGGAAUUCCUAGUGUAGCGGUGAAAUGCGUAGAUAUUAGGAAGAACACCGGUGGCGAAGGCGGCUUUCUGGACAGAAACUGACAUUGAGGCACGAAAGUGUGGGGAGCAAACA
rnacentral:rRNA from 1 species